AAAAACAUUUAAGUAAAAACAAUUAAGAACAUUACAUUACAUUUUCUAUUGUAGACACCUUGGAGUGGAAACCCCAAAGGACUCGUGGGACCAGUCAAAGGAGAGCUAGUCCUCGAAUUCUUGUCAAAACGUUUGAAUUUUACGUAACACAGAAAUCUAAAUUAUUUUAAAUGGCAUUUUUUAACAUCUUGAUUUACUUCAUUACUGACAAGGUACGAAAUGAUACGAGUGUUCGACAUCCAACUGGGACCAUUACAAAAUGGACGAGGACUCUUCAAUUUCCUGCUGGAUCAAGUUAAGUUGAUUCCUUUCCAUUUGAAAUAGAAAUUAAGAAUUUCCUCAUGUAUCGCAGCGAUGCGAUUUGCUAGUCCACGAUCUGGUACCAACAUCCCAGCGCAAUCAAAUCAUCGAUUUGACAUUACCUUGGGCGUACGAUUAUUUCGCUUUCCUCAUUCCCGCCCCGGACGAAACGGCCAACAUCAACUCGGUCGUCAAACCGUUUCAAUGGCAGGUAUGGCUAGGGCUGGGGGUAUCGAUCGUUUGCGUCAUCGCAGUUUUGAAUUUAAUCCAGCGCUACUUGGAAUAUCAAUCAGCAUUCCAUAUGGAUUUUAAACCUAGAAAUAAAAAACCGAAAACUGGAAAUUUGCAAAACAAUCGUAAAGUCAAGAGAUAUCAAACCGGAAAGCAAUACCUUUACGUAUUGGGCAUUUUGCUUUCACAAGGUGGCUUUUGCCCAUUAAAAUGGCUACCCUAUCGACUGGUUGCUGGCGUAUGGACCUUGGCAGCUUUCAUCUUCGUCCAGUCCUACACGUCGAUUCUAUUCACUUACGUCGUGACGCCAAUCAAUCAGCCGCUUAUCAAUUCCGUCUACGACAUAAUUGACAACGGCGAUAUCAAUUUCUACGUCAGAGAAUACGGAUUUCUAAACGUUCUAUUUAAAGCAAGUCUUAAUGGCAAAAGUAAAUUCACUUGAGGAACUUGGCACUAAAUUUCUUGCAACGACACACACAGACAACUAACGAGACGGGACUGUACACGACACUACGAAAAAGACUCGACUCGUUUCCAAAUUCUCGUUGCGCAUCGCCGUCUGAAUGCAUCAAUUUGAUUACGCCGGGAUCAAGAAACGUUUUCGCUGAGGCAAGUGUUUACCUAAGGGACGCAAUCAGAACUGAUUUUCAAAAGACGGGCAAAUGCAACUUGCAAUUGGCAAAGGAAAACUUCAUCAGUAUCAUGGCAUCGUUCGCCCUGCCGAAAAACAGUCCCUACACUCAGAGCAUAACCCAAGGGUAAGCCAGUAGAGUUGAAUGUCGUUUCUCUUUUCUUUAAAAUUGUCAAUUUCAAAUGACACAAUUUUUU